GUCAACUACCCACGACUUCAGUCGUGGGCUUGUUCCGUGAGGGACAUCGCAAGAGUUGAUUAGGGGGCUUUAAAAACAUGGGAAAAAACAUGAAAGAAAAGCAGAAGUUAGAUCGGAGAAAUACAUACACACCUAUGGAUGCUCCACAAGUCCGUAGCUCUGUG
rnacentral:sRNA from 16 species